rnacentral:rRNA from 1 species
UACGUAGGGUGCGAGCGUUGUUCGGAUUCAUUGGGCGUAAAGGGUGCGUAGGUGGCGCGGUAAGUCGGGUGUGAAAAUCUCGGAGCUUAACUCCGAAAUUGCAUUCGAUACUGCCGUGCUUGAGGACUGGAGAGGAGACUGGAAUUCAUGGUGUAGCAGUGAAAUGCGUAGAGAUCAUGAGGAAGACCAGUGGCGAAGGCGGGUCUCUGGACAGUUCCUGACACUGAGGCACGAAGCCAGGGGAGCAAACGGG